GCCUGGGUGGCUCAGUCGGUUAAGCAUCUGACUUCGGCUCAGGUUGUUAUCUCACAGUUCGUGAGUUCGAGCCUCACGUCGGGCU
rnacentral:tRNA from 1 species